AGGAAUGAAAUGUUAGUACUCAAGUGUCCUCUCUUCUCAAAAGAGAAGCUACGUGCUCAGGAUGCACACAGGAUGUGGGGGAGGCCAAUGGCAGGACAGUGGAAUCAUGGCAUGAUCUUGGAUAUCUAUCCUACGCAAUCAUGAAUGCUGCCUUUAUGCCACAUACAGCGAUCAUAUCUGUGUUUCUUAUUUCUAUACUGUUGUCUUCUUAGUUUCCUCAGAGGGAUGUAAGUAUAUGUCAUCUACAAUGUCCAAUACAGAUGGUUAAGCUCAGCAGGAGCUGAGAAACUGGAGCCCAAACCAACAUUGUUUGGCAUUGAAGAGGGCCCACAGGCAGGAAUGCAACAUGCAUUUCCAGGGAGGACACAAGGAGUCUUGUUGUCAUUCUCAAUGCCCAAAUAACAACAGCUGCUUAAAACACCUGCCUCCAACAUCAGCUAGAAGAUUGUACAGUAUCCUAUCAGAUUCUGAUCUGGGCACAGUGAUUCACAUGUUUGUGUCCUCUUGGCUUGAUUAUUGUUUAUUAUUACACCUAUGAAUGAAGCUACCAGUGUUGAUGCCAAUAGUUACUGCAUAUGCACUAGAACUGAUAGAAAAAAUUCUGCCAAUUUCUUUUAACAGAAGAACAAUUUUUAUACAAACUUGUUUUGGGGGUGACUUUCUUUCUCCUCACCCCAGGAAAAGAAACAUUUCACAAUGAACUCUAACUCGCACAUCUUCUGGGAUGAGCAGGUACAAAAGUUUGAGCAGCUUAUUUUCAAAUUUGGUCAUGGUUUGCUCUCUGUGUGCUUAGUCUAUUCUGGUCUGGGAAUAAUAUUCAGUGUGAGGUAUAGUGUUGAAAUGAGUUCAAGUCAGACACUUGAAAGAGCUGAUUUUAGGUUAGUGACUUUUUCCGCUAUAUCUGGGCGAUGGACACUGGAGCAAAGAGUCUGGAAUGCUGAAAAUUUUUAUGAGAAGGGAUAGGAGAGUUUUGACAUUGAAUUUCAUUGUUAUGUGUUUCCAAAUAUAGUGGUUAAGGUGUUUUUACCCAUAUGUUGUUUGAUCUUUAUGAUUAUAUGUCUGUAUCUAUAUGCUUCACUAUAGAUAUUCAUAAUUGGCCAGCGGAAGGGAAUCUACACUCAACUAGAGGGCAUUUGUCUGCUUAAUUAAAAAAGAGCCAAUUAACUAUUUUACUGAAAACUGCAAAACGAGAAAAGAUUGAUUGCCACUAAAAAUAGGUUACUGGCUGAUUUGCUUCUGAUGUCACACUACCACUAGGGAACUUCUAGGUCCUAUGGAAGGGAAAAUAUUUUUCCAUCAGAAAAUGCUGAUGCAUCAAGAAAAUUUCUGAAAAAGAAACGGACACCCUCAAGCCCCAGCUCUGCCUGUUUCAGAGCAGAGACUUGAACAUGACUCUUUGAUAUCCCAUGUGAAUUCCCUAACAACCAGACUUCUGGCUAUUCUAGGUCUUGUUUUUGUCUGGGUUGGGGGGAGGAAUACAAAAGGUUUCACAUUUGUUCUAAUGUGGGAUGAAAACAAAUUUCAAAACCUCAACAUUUUUGCAAAAUAGAAUUAUUGUUUUGCAGUCAGCCCUUUACGCAGAGCCCCUAGCAUGGGGGAGGGGCAGUGAAUUGGGUACCCUGCUAUGCAGCGGAGAUGGAAAUGGAGAACAAACAGAGCCUUGGGAAUGGGGGCAAGGGAAAUGAAGGGGCACCCAGACCCCUUAGCAUGAGGGGAAAUGGAAAUGAAGGGGAACAUAGGGCUAAAGAUAGACCGGGAUGGAAGGGUGGGACACCAGGGUUGUAGAAUGGAGGGCUGCAAGCAGUCCCUGGCUUGUGCCAUGAGAAGGCCCACAUAAGCAAUCAAACGUGCAGUUACCCACCAUUGUCUAGUCCUCAAAAGAAGAAAAGGACUUAUAAGAGGCCCUAAUUAUGGGAGACCUCUUUUAGCUCAAGUGAUGGUGGUCUUUGGGCUGGAAGACAAGAGUUCUACUCUAGUCUCUCAAGCAUCUGUGUGAUAUAUCCAGGAACAAUGUCUAUUUUCAACAUAUGGAUUCUUUACAUCUAUUGGAAAUCUUAGAAGAAUGGAUUUUCUUGUGAAAUUGAGUCAUUGUUUUCAGUUGAGCCAGAGAAUACCAUGAGAAUUGCUUUUCUCGUGCUUUCUGUGCUCUUUUGCUCCCUGGGCCUGGUCAGAAUUAGGAGGUACCCAGGCAUGUAAAAAUGAAAAUUGGUUUAAAAAAAGUUAUUGAAACUUUUCCACCUUUCAAAAAAGGGUCAAUAGAGGCCCAUUUCCAAUAGAGGGCCUAUGACUGGGUCAGUUUUCCCAUCCCUACUAUCUCUUUUGUCUGAUAUGAAUCUUUGUGUACCUUUGUGGAGAAAUGUAUGCUCUUCUAUUUUCAUGUGACUUUCCAACUGGCAGCCUAAAAUAAUUUGAAUCAAACCUUUAUUCCUGAGAUGUUGCUUCACUUUAUCAAACUGACAUAAUGUUUUCAAUAAAUCUAAGCUUUUAUCCAGGG